UGUGAAGGUGCUGCAUGGUUGUCGUCAGCUCGUGCCGUGAGGUGUCGGCUUAAGUGCCAUAACGAGCGCAACCCCUCUCCUUAGUUGCCAUCAGGUUAAGCUGGGCACUCUGGGGACACUGCCACCGUAAGGUGUGAGGAAGGUGGGGAUGACGUCAAAUCAGCACGGCCCUUACGUCCGGGGCUACACACGUGUUACAAUGGCAGGUACAGAGAGACGGUCCCUUGCAAAACGGAUCAAAUCCUUAAAGCCUGUCUCAGUUCGGACUGGGGUCUGCAACCCGACCCCACGAAGCUGGAUUCGCUAGUAAUCGCGCAUCAGCCACGGCGCGGUGAAUACGUUCCCGGGCCUUGUACACACCGCCCGUCAAGCCAUGAAAGCCGGGGGCGCCUAAAGUCCGUGACCGUAAGGAGCGGCCUAGGGCGAAACUGGUAAUUGGGGCUAAGUCGUAACAAGGUAGCCGUACCGGAAGGUGCGGCUGGAACACCUCCUUUCUGGAG
rnacentral:rRNA from 1 species